AGAGGAUGGAUUGGUGCCUUCGGGAACUCUGAGACAGGUGCUGCAUGGCUGUCGUCAGCUCGUGUUGUGAAAUGUUGGGUUAAGUCCCGCAACGAGCGCAACCCUUAUCCUUUGUUGCCAGCGGUUAGGCCGGGAACUCAAAGGAGACUGCCAGUGAUAAACUGGAGGAAGGUGGGGAUGACGUCAAGUCAUCAUGGCCCUUACGAGUAGGGCUACACACGUGCUACAAUGGCGCAUACAAGAGAAGCGACCUCGCGAGAGCAAGCGGACCUCAUAAAGUGCGUCGUAGUCCGGAUUGGAGUCUGCAACUCGACUCCAUGAAGUCGGAAUCGCUAGUAAUCGUGGAUCAGAAUGCCACGGUGAAUACGUUCCCGGGCCUUGUACACACCGCCCGUCACACCAUGGGAGUGGGUUGCAAAAGAAGUAGGUAGCUUAACCUUCGGGAGGGCGCUUACCACUUUGUGAUUCAUGACUGGGGUGAAGUCGUAACAAGGUAAGCGUAGUGCU
rnacentral:rRNA from 1 species